UACGGAGGGUGCGAGCGUUAAUCGGAAUUACUGGGCGUAAAGCGCGCGUAGGCGGCUUGAUAAGCUGGAUGUGAAAUCCCCGGGCUCAACCUGGGAACUGCAUUCAGAACUGUCAGGCUAGAGUACAGUAGAGGAUGGUGGAAUUUCAGGUGUAGCGGUGAAAUGCGCAGAUAUCUGAAGGAACAUCAGUGGCGAAGGCGGCCAUCUGGACUGAUACUGACGCUGAGGUGCGAAAGCGUGGGGAGCAAACAGG
rnacentral:rRNA from 1 species